CCUGUCCAGCCCCCGUCCAGCCCCGCGAGCCCGCGGGUUCUCACUGCAGCUCCCACGAGGUGCCGCGCCUGAUUCGGGGCCCAGCCUGUGGGGACAGUUCGGGACUUCGCGUCCUCGUGGUGGAGCGGGAGAGACUUGAGAUCUGGAAGUGUGUUCACCUGGCCUCAAGCUGCACCUUUCAUUUUGGAAAACCAGCAAAAGAAAACACCGCCGGGACUCUUCAAACAAAACCCACCCACUGGCCCUCAGGUCUCCAAGCCCAAACGUGGACCUGAGUAUCCCGUGCAGUCAUAUUUCAGAGCCCAGGCAGUAAUACUGAUCUAGAUUUAUGAGUGCAUCUCUACUGUGUAACAUGGUUGAGUGUGUUGC
rnacentral:lncRNA from 1 species